GUGCACUACGUUCUGCAAGCAUAAUGCAGUGAAAAGAGCGUUUUAACGUCGAAAUAUCUUAAACGGCAGAGAAAUAUCGCUUAAUUUUCUACAAAAUCGACGAUUUAUUGAAAUUUUCGUGUGUCCGAGCCUGUUUCGAAGAUGGAAAGCGCUUGCACUACGUUCUGCACGCAUAAUGCAGUGCAAAGAGCGUUUAAACGUCGAAAUAUCUCCAACGGGAGAGAAAUAACGCAUAAUUUUCGUCGCGAUCGACGAAUGAUUGCGAUUCGCGAGUUUCUGGGCUUGUUUCUACGACGGAAAACACGUGCACUACGUUCGGCACGCAUAACGCAGUGCAAAGUGCGUUUAAACGUCGAAAUAUCUCGAACGGGAGAGAAAUAUCGCUUAAUUUUCUACAAAAUCGACGAAUUAUUGUGAAUUAUGUGUGCCUGGACUUGUUUCGACGGUGGAAAACGCGUGCACUACGUUCUGCACGCAUAACGCAGUGCAAAGUGCGUUUAAACGUCGAAAUAUCUCAAACGGGAGAGAAAUAUCGCUUAAUUUUCGACGAAAUCGACGAAUUAUUGCAAUUAGCGAACAUCUGGACUUGUUUCGACGCUGGGGGACAGGCGUGCACUACGUUCUGCACGCAUAAUGCAGUACAAAGUUCUUUUAAACGUCGAAACAUCUCAAACGGGAGAGAAAUAUCGCUUAAUUUCCUACAAAAUCGACGAUUUCUUGCGAUUUGCGUGCAUCUGGGCUUGUUUCUACGACGUACAGCACGCGCACUACGUUCUGCACGCAUAAUGCAUUGAAAAGAGCGUUUAAACGUCGGAAUAUCCUAAAUGGGAAAGAAAUGUCGCUUAAUGUUCUACAAAAUCGGCGAAUUAUUGCAAUAUUCGUGUAUAUGGGCUUGUUUCGGCGAUGGAAAAGGCGUACACUACGUCCUGCUCGCAUAACGCAGUGCAAAGUGCGUUUAAACGUCGCAAUAUCUCGAACGGGAGAGAAAUAACGCAUAAUUUUCGUCAAAAUCGACGAAUGAAUGCGUUUUGCCUGUAUCUGGGCUUGUUUCUACGACGUGCAGCACACGCACUACGUUCUGCACGCAUAAUGCAUUGAACAGAGCGUUUAAACGUCGAAAUAUCUCGAACGGGAGAGAAAUAUCGCGUAAUUUUCUAGAAAAUCGACGAUUUCUU
rnacentral:misc_RNA from 1 species